rnacentral:rRNA from 1 species
CCUUGUAACCACCACCGCCCGUCCACACCGAUGGGGGUAGUCGGGUUUCAACCAGAAAGGUCCGGUUCGACCCUAACCGAAGAGGGGCGCCACCACGGUGAGAUUCAUGACUGGGGUG